AAAGCAAACAUAAACUAAUCCGAACUCACUUUUCUCUGGUCUGUUGGGCUGACUGUUUCUCUUGUACUAUCAUUACCAUUACACAGAAUAAUUACAUCAGCUGUAGCCACUUCCAGGCAUCGAUCUGUAACUCGAAUCAAUCCUCUAGAGACACAAGGGGAUGAAAUAGUGAUCUUAUGGUGGUGUGUGAGGGGAAAAACCUGACUUUCAGGCACCAUAGGAGUUCCAGUCUGUAGAAUAGUGGGACAGUUCCUGGUAUAGCUGCAUCUCUUCCUGCAAGCACAGCUUUCUAAGUGCUCUAAUGAGAUAGUGGGCAAGAAAAAAAAAGUCCAUGGGAUGCUGCAUGUGAGAAACGGGAAUAUGAAGAUGUGCGGCGUAUGUGCAACGAGUUUCUAAUUAAAGACACGGCGAUGUAAGCCCUCGAGGGACGACUCCUUCCGUCUGAGAACCUCAAUAAAUUGGCGAGAAUCGACGGCGGAUGUCUGGAGACGUUCAAAACGAGCGACGCGUGUCUUCGAGGAGCUUUCACUGGAGUUUUCUCAAGUCACGGAGACAUCAGAAGGGAGUCUGACUUCUCAAACUUCCCACGCUUGAGCGUUUUAAAGGACGAUUCGCUUUAAAGGAUAGCGCUCUAUCUCGCGAGCCUCGCGUGGGGUUAUAUAGACACCGGACGCUCGAGACUCAAUAAAACACAACGCGCGCUCAAUCGCCUCAGGCUGUGUCGAUUGAGGGAAAGAAACGCAGCAACACCAGGGUCCUCAGACUGCGUGAUCCAGGACUUGGGCAGUGCGGGACUUGCGCGCACUCUGGUUGCGGGAGCGAUGCGCGCGCUGCGGGCUCCGGUUCUAGUAAUGGGGCUCGUCAUGUUAAUCUGCACUGCUGCACAAAGCGACGCCAGCGUGAACAAGGUCGAGAAAACGUUCAGAAGGAUAAAAGACAUCAUGAGACUGGCGGAAAACAGCGCCGACGACCCAAGCGCGCAAAAGAAAGAGGAAACUCACCUCAAAACGAACACCGGGGAAACAAUUUUAAAAAUCUUUCCCAGAGACGUGGAAAAGAAAAAGAAGGUUAUCAGGAUCUUAACAGGUCCUCUUUAUUUCAGUCCAAAAUGCAGGAAGCACGUCUACAGGCUUUAUAAUCACACCAGAGACUGCACCAGCCCUGCAUACUACAAAAGAUGCGCGCGACUUCUGACGCGACUGGCAGGGAGUCCGAGAUGUCAAGAGGGUUAACUUUACCAGCAGGUUGAAGCCAAACCAAAGUGACCCAGAAAAAAUAAAACAGCAGUCAAAGUGCCUUUGGACAAGAGAAGAGAAUUUAAACCAACACGCAACAUUCCACAUAAUCAGCACAUCGCGUCCAGAACACUGCUCUGCCUCUCCGGAGAAUAGAUGUGGGAAAGAAUUGAUAUAGCAGUAAACGGACAGAAUAUAAAGGGAUGCACUUGCCCAAGGAUGGUCUGCUGGACUCAGCAUGGAGCCAAUGUUAAAACACAGGAUGACAGAGAAAGAAAACAGAAAACGCAUCUGGCGCAUUGGGUUAUGAACCUCUCUGCCAAAAAACAAAACCAUUUUCCAUCGUUUCAUCACGAUAAAAGGGAUUGCCAUGGUUUUGUGUUUUGUUCUCAUCAGAUAUCAAGACUCGUCACAGUCAGUGCUGAUGUUUCGUUUGACAUGCCUCGAUGGGGUUACAAUUCAGAGCCGUGACCACAAAUUGUCUUCGUUCACUGCGACAAGAGAGAGAUUUGCUUUUCUCUGUGCUAGAACUGAAAACCAGUUAUCUGCAUGAAUGUUUCCUUUCGCUUCUGUUUGCCAGCAAACAGGUAGACUUUUGAGGUAAAUCCGUGAAAAGCUUUUUUGUUUUUGUGUGAGACUGUGAGUGUCUGACUGUGGAAUAUAUUCAGUAUAUUUUGAUAUGUAAAUGUUGUACAAAUGAGACUUUAAAAAAAAAAAAAUCUGUAUAACAAACAUAAGCGUCUGACGUACGACGGGAUGUGUAUAUUUAAAAGAAAAUAUAUUUAAAUAAAUUAUGAUUGUUUACACACUGUGGUCUUGAACGUUGUAUAAAUAGACAAAAAUUUUUUAAGGUUAAUCUUCUGAAGCAUAAAACGUAGUCUAUCUAGUUUAACAGCUUAUCUUGGCAUCAGAAAAUAUAUUUUUUAGGGAGUU